GGGUUGUGAGGUUAAGCGACUAAGCGUACACGGUGGAUGCCCUGGCAGUCAGAGGCGAUGAAGGACGUGCUAAUCUGCGAUAAGCGUCGGUAAGGUGAUAUGAACCGUUAUAACCGGCGAUUUCCGAAUGGGGAAACCCAGUGUGAUUCGUCACACUAUCAUUAACUGAAUCCAUAGGUUAAUGAGGCGAACCGGGGGAACUGAAACAUCUAAGUACCCCGAGGAAAAGAAAUCAACCGAGAUUCCCCCAGUAGCGGCGAGCGAACGGGG
rnacentral:rRNA from 1 species